rnacentral:rRNA from 1 species
CAAAAACAUCGCCUCCUGCUAACCACAAAGUAUAGGAGGUCUUACCUGCCCAGUGACAAAGUGUUAAACGGCCGCGGUAUUUUGACCGUGCUAAGGUAGCGCAAUCACUUGUUUUUUAAAUGAAGACCUGUAUGAAUGGUGAAACGAGGGCUUAACUGUCUCCCCUUUCUAGUCAAUGAAACUGAUCUGCUCGUGCAGAAGCGAGCAUAAAAAUACAAGACGAGAAGACCCUUUGGAGCUUUAGACAUAAGUCAACUAUUUCUAAACCCAAAUAAAAUGGGGUAGAAUCAAACAUUACACUGACCAAAGUCUUCGGUUGGGGCGACCAUGGGGAAAAACAAAACCCCCACGUGGAACGGACCACUCCUUAAACUAAGAGAGACAUCUCUAAGUCACAGAACAUCUGACCAUCAAGAUCCGGCCAACAAGCCGAUCAACGAACCAAGUUACCCUAGGGAUAACAGCGCAAUCCUCUUCAAGAGUCCAUAUCGACAAGAGGGUUUACGACCUCGAUGUUGGAUCAGGACAUCCUAAUGGCGCAGCCACUAUUAAGGGUUCGUUUGUUCAACGAUUAAAGUCCUACGUGAUCUGAG